CCAACGGCCCUCUUAAGGGCCACAUGAGUUUGAUUUUGUGUUUGAU
rfam:Steinernema glaseri strain NC unplaced genomic scaffold GLAS_2908, whole genome shotgun sequence.